UGCGGCUUUAUUUGACUCAACACGGGAAAACUCACCAGGUCCGGAUACACGUAGGAAAGACAAGCUGAAAGACUUUUCUCAAUGAUGUAAGUGGUGGUGCAUGGUCGUUCGUGGUUCGUGAAUUGAUUUGUCUGGUCUAUUCCGAUAACGAGCGAGACCCCGACGUUCCUAAUAGGGGCGGCAGCCCGGCUCGCCUCACGGCUUGCUAGCAGCCGCUUAAGAUUUACUUCUUAGACGUAUCAGAGCCGAUAAGGUUCUUGAAAUGGGUUAAUAACAGGUCAGUCAUGCCCUUAGAUGUUCUGGGCCGCACGCGCGUUACAAUGGCAUGAAUAAAAAGUGCUUAUAAACGAGCGUGUCCGGCGCCUAACGGUGUUGGUAAUCCCUAAUCCCUGCCUUGACUGGGAUAGACUAUUGCAAUUAUUGGUCUUAAACGAGGAAUUUUUAGUAGUCGCAGGUCAUUAACCUGUGACGAAUGCGUCCCUGCCC
rnacentral:rRNA from 1 species